rnacentral:lncRNA from 10 species
AUUACCAAUGAAGAGCCGGCAUCUUGGGCUUUUACCCUGAUGGGAACCAUCAAGCAGAACCUUCUGGACCUGUACUUCCGAGUUCACUAGGGCUGGGAGAACUCAGCCCAGGGAUCAGCAACGCAUGUACGAGUCUCUCCAGAAGAGACAUAACACUGACUGUAUGCUCUACAACUAACUAAUCUUCAGUUUGCAGAAGAGGAAACUAAAGGACAGGAAGUUGGCUGAUUCCUACAAUGAGCAGAAGUUACAGCAAAGGUCAAUGCCAGGACUGAGUUCCCUGUUUUUCUCACUCACAUUCUUUAAGUUGGUA